GCUAAAUUCAAUCCAAGAAAGUCAAAGCACUUACAUAAGUUUAAGGCCAAGGAAAGCAAGUUUGGAAAGCCACAUUAUGACAAAAGUGAUGGUUGAAACCAAGGAUCGACCUCAAAUUUCGAAGAGAUGACUCUGGCACAGAGAUCUUAAGUUGCACAGAACUAUGAAUCAAUCCCAAGUAUUGCAAUUCGACUCUCUCAUGGCAAGAUAGAAAGCUACAUUUUUCAGUUUGACUUUCGAGCCAACACCUUCAAACUAUGAGUCAACCUCUAGUCAAUUUUGUGUCGACCCCAAGUUAGGUGAGUCGACUCUCUCAGAUAAGAUAAAGAGAUGCCUGAUGCGUAGUCGUUGAUAGCACCAAAAAUAACUCUACUCACUACGUAGGUAGGAUGAGUCGAGAUAAUAUCCUCAGGGACCUUGGGCUAAGUUGAGAUUGCAAAAUAAAAGAAAGAAGCGUUGUUUUGAUUUAGAAAAUAAAUUAUCUUAAAAUUGAUGUAAUUAGAAAAUAAAGAGCUCGGGAGUUUUGAAUUAAUUUUGCACUAGUAGAGUUGUAUCUCUUUUUUUUUAAAUUAAAUAGAUGCGAUUAAUCUUAGAAAAAAUAUCUAUCUUUCCUCGGCACACUCCAUACCCGUAGAUCACGGCGUAUCUCCGAAAAGUACUAGAUAAACAACUCUUCUUUCCUCGGCACGCCCCAUACCCGUAGAUCACGGUGCAUCUUCAGAAAGUAAAAGUUGUUCCUAAUAUUAAUCUAACAGGAAAGCAUAAAUAAAAAUUUAUGAAAAAGAGUAAAUAAAGAACUCAUGAUGAUUUAAAUAAAAACAUAAUCUUUAUUGCAUAUAAAGAAAUACAAGAAAGUUUAGAAUAAUAAACCCACUCUGUAUCAUUACAAAAUUUCUUCUCCACUCC
rnacentral:lncRNA from 1 species